GUACACGCUGUGACUAGCAUAUCAAUAAGCGGAGGAAAAGGCUGCGGAACUGAACGACCGCUACCUACGCUUAGGAUGUUGACGAGACUGUCGAUCUCAUCUAUACAUGACUCUGUGCAUAUCAAUAAGCGGAGGAAAAGAAACUAACAAGGAUUCCCCUAGUAACGGCGAGUGAAGCGGGAAGAGCUCAAAUUUGAAAUCUUAAAGGGUUUCCCUUUACGAAUUGUAGUUUAAAGAAGUGUUUUCUGUUGAGGUUUUGGUAAAAGUUCUUUGGAAUAGGACAUCAUAGAGGGUGAGAAUCCCGUAUUUGACCUUUACUUUCAACUUUGUGAUACACUUUCAAAGAGUCGGAUUGUUUGGGAAUGCAGUCCAAAAUGGGUGGUAAAUUUCAUCUAAAGCUAAAUAUUGGCGAGAGACCGAUAGCGAACAAGUACCGUGAGGGAAAGGAUGAAAAGAACUUUGAAAAGAGAGUUAAACAGUACGUGAAAUUGUCAAAAGGGAAGCGUUUGACACCAGUGUUGUUUUUCUGAAAAUCAAUUAAAGAACUGUUUAUGCUAAGUUGUUUAGACUUUAUCAGCUAACUGUUUAGUUUUGAGCUUUUCUUUAAUGCACUUUUCAGUUAACAAGUCAACAUCAAUUUCUUUUGCUGUAAAAAAGCUUGAGGAAGGUGGCUUGAGAUUCGUCUUAAGUGUUUAUAGCCUCUUGCCUAUGCAGUCGGAGAGAUUGAGGUCUGCAGCGUAGAUCCUUCGGGGCUAAAUGCAUUUGUGCUAAGUUAUAGCAUUUUAUAGACAACUUGUUGACUAUGAUUUGUCUUGUAGCUUACUCGCUUAUGUUAUUUUACCUACGCUUAGGAUGUUGAAGAUGUAGCACAUCAU
rnacentral:rRNA from 1 species